rnacentral:rRNA from 1 species
GGGUUGUGAGGUUAAGCGACUAAGCGUACACGGUGGAUGCCCUGGCAGUCAGAGGCGAUGAAGGACGUGCUAAUCUGCGAUAAGCGUCGGUAAGGUGAUAUGAACCGUUAUAACCGGCGAUUUCCGAAUGGGGAAACCCAGUGUGAUUCGUCACACUAUCAUUAACUGAAUCCAUAGGUUAAUGAGGCGAACCGGGGGAACUGAAACAUCUAAGUACCCCGAGGAAAAGAAAUCAACCGAGAUUCCCCCAGUAGCGGCGAGCGAACGGGGAGCAGCCCAGAGCCUGAAUCAGUGUGUGUGUUAGUGGAAGCGUCUGGAAAGGCGCGCGAUACAGGGUGACAGCCCCGUACACAAAAAUGCACAUGCUGUGAGCUCGAUGAGUAGGGCGGGACACGUGGUAUCCUGUCUGAAUAUGGGGGGACCAUCCUCCAAGGCUAAAUACUCCUGACUGACCGAUAGUGAACCAGUACCGUGAGGGAAAGGCGAAAAGAACCCCGGCGAGGGGAGUGAAAAAGAACCUGAAACCGUGUACGUACAAGCAGUGGGAGCACGCUUAGGCGUGUGACUGCGUACCUUUUGUAUAAUGGGUCAGCGACUUAUAUUCUGUAGCAAGGUUAACCGAAUAGGGGAGCCGAAGGGAAACCGAGUCUUAACUGGGCGUUAAGUUGCAGGGUAUAGACCCGAAACCCGGUGAUCUAGCCAUGGGCAGGUUGAAGGUUGGGUAACACUAACUGGAGGACCGAACCGACUAAUGUUGAAAAAUUAGCGGAUGACUUGUGGCUGGGGGUGAAAGGCCAAUCAAACCGGGAGAUAGCUGGUUCUCCCCGAAAGCUAUUUAGGUAGCGCCUCGUGAAUUCAUCUCCGGGGGUAGAGCACUGUUUCGGCAAGGGGGUCAUCCCGACUUACCAACCCGAUGCAAACUGCGAAUACCGGAGAAUGUUAUCACGGGAGACACACGGCGGGUGCUAACGUCCGUCGUGAAGAGGGAAACAACCCAGACCGCCAGCUAAGGUCCCAAAGUCAUGGUUAAGUGGGAAACGAUGUGGGAAGGCCCAGACAGCCAGGAUGUUGGCUUAGAAGCAGCCAUCAUUUAAAGAAAGCGUAAUAGCUCACUGGUCGAGUCGGCCUGCGCGGAAGAUGUAACGGGGCUAAACCAUGCACCGAAGCUGCGGCAGCGACGCUUAUGCGUUGUUGGGUAGGGGAGCGUUCUGUAAGCCUGUGAAGGUGUACUGUGAGGUAUGCUGGAGGUAUCAGAAGUGCGAAUGCUGACAUAAGUAACGAUAAAGCGGGUGAAAAGCCCGCUCGCCGGAAGACCAAGGGUUCCUGUCCAACGUUAAUCGGGGCAGGGUGAGUCGACCCCUAAGGCGAGGCCGAAAGGCGUAGUCGAUGGGAAACAGGUUAAUAUUCCUGUACUUGGUGUUACUGCGAAGGGGGGACGGAGAAGGCUAUGUUGGCCGGGCGACGGUUGUCCCGGUUUAAGCGUGUAGGCUGGUUUUCCAGGCAAAUCCGGAAAAUCAAGGCUGAGGCGUGAUGACGAGGCACUACGGUGCUGAAGCAACAAAUGCCCUGCUUCCAGGAAAAGCCUCUAAGCAUCAGGUAACAUCAAAUCGUACCCCAAACCGACACAGGUGGUCAGGUAGAGAAUACCAAGGCGCUUGAGAGAACUCGGGUGAAGGAACUAGGCAAAAUGGUGCCGUAACUUCGGGAGAAGG